rnacentral:rRNA from 1 species
UACGAAGGGGGCUAGCGUUGCUCGGAGUCACUGGGCGUAAAGCGCACGUAGGCGGAUUGUUAAGUCAGGGGUGAAAUCCUGGAGCUCAACUCCAGAACUGCCUUUGAUACUGGCGAUCUCGAGUCCGGGAGAGGUGAGUGGAACUGCGAGUGUAGAGGUGAAAUUCGUAGAUAUUCGCAAGAACACCAGUGGCGAAGGCGGCUCACUGGCCCGGUACUGACGCUGAGGUGCGGAAAGCGUGGGGAGCAAACAGGG